UGUGAUUUCCAGGAUAUGGAGAACAAGAUGCGAAACACUUUGAAUGAAAUUUACUUUGGUAAAACUAAAGACAUCGUCAAUUCACUCAGGAGUGUAAAUAGCCUGCAAGACCAAGCAAACCAGAAAGCCAUGCAAGCUGAACUUUUCCAGACACUUAAAAACCGUCAAAUGUGAAAAAAAUGAUAUCUUUUACAUUAGGCAAAAAUCUUCACUGAAAAUAUUUGAACCAUUUGCCUACUGAUUAUAAACGCAUUAGUUAUAGCCAAUUAGUAUUUUGUAUUCAUAACAUUUUGAAACAGAGUUUAGGCAGAUGUUCAAAUGUUUUUGGAAAGGUAGAUAGAAGAAAACUAUAGAAUUUCUUUCGUUUUUCUAAUACAAUUUAUUUUGAAUAAAUAAAUUAAGUGAUUCUAAAAAGUGUGAUCACAGGUUUAGUCGUAGGUGUUGUAGUUGCUGUUAAGUUAGCAGCAGUUAAAAUACUGUUGGGAAUCAGCUGUAGAGAUGUGUCUUUAGUGUACAGUAAAAUCGUUUCAGUGACAAAACCACUGCCAUCAACAGCAAUAUCGGGAACAAAGUCAUCUACAAUAUUGUUGAAUAGCAUCUUCAGCAAUAUUAUCAUCAAUGACAUACCAGUACAGCUAGCAUUACCUGCAACUUCCUGAAACAACCACCUUCAGUAGAGUUUCCAAAAUGAAGUGUCAAAUGUGAUCACAUUUUUCUACACGUAGAUGUUAAAAUAUUUUGAUUAUCUCUUGUGUUUCGUUCAAAAGACAACAUUUUUAAACACAACAAAACUAUCAUAAACAUUAAUUAGAUUUCUGUAUAAAAUAAAACAAACUCCAUCAUCAAAAUAACCCUAGUCUGCUAAGCUUAUUGGCUCUGCCAUCCAUAAUAUAAUCUGAUUUUGAAUAACUUGUGAGCAAAUUUAAUGGAAACUGGGACCCAUUCUUCCCCAACUUCAUAGGCAAAGGAAUCCCAUAUCAGAACASCAGACUCUUCAUAUUUCUUUCUGAUUAUACUUAGUUCUGGCUCCAUUUUUCAUAAUGUACUUGAGGACUGGGAAAUUGGGUCAAACUAACUAUAAACUUAUUGAAUAAAAUAUUGCCGAUAACCUACUUUGCAGUUUCCUAGAUCAUUUUUAGCAGUGAUCCAAAACACAAACUCUUUGAUUUGUCACCAGAGUUGAUAAGCAAUAAUGGUAGAAUGUAAUUAUGACUUCAAGCAAUAAAAUAGUAUUUGUAAAUUG